GGACAACCUGCCCUCGGAUGGGGGGAUAACCCCGGGAAAACUGGGGGCUAAUCCCCCAUAGGGGAUGGGUACUGGAAAUGUCCCAUCUCCGAAAGCGCUUAGCGCCCGAGGAUGGGUCUGCGGCGGAUUAGGUUGUUGGUGGGGGUAACGGCCCACCAAGCCGAAGAUCCGUACGGGCCAUGAGAGUGGGAGCCCGGAGAUGGACCCUGAGACACGGGUCCAGGCCCUACGGGGCGCAGCAGGCGCGAAACCUCCGCAAUGCGGGAAACCGCGACGGGGUCAGCCGGAGUGCUCGCGCAUCGCGCGGGCUGUCGGGGUGCCUAAAAAGCACCCCAUAGCAAGGGCCGGGCAAGGCCGGUGGCAGCCGCCGCGGUAAUACCGGCGGCCCGAGUGGCGGCCACUUUUAUUGGGCCUAAAGCGUCCGUAGCCGGGCUGGUAAGUCCUCCGGGAAAUCUGGUCGCUUAACGAUCAGACUGCCGGAGGAUACUGCCAGCCUAGGGACCGGGAGAGGCCGGGGGUAUUCCCGGGGUAGGGGUGAAAUCCUGUAAUCCCGGGAGGACCACCUGUGGCGAAGGCGCCCGGCUGGAACGGGUCCGACGGUGAGGGACGAAGGCCAGGGGAGCGAACCGGAUUAGAUACCCGGGUAGUCCUGGCUGUAAACGAUGCGGACUAGGUGUCACCGAAGCUACGAGCUUCGGUGGUGCCGGAGGGAAGCCGUUA
rnacentral:rRNA from 1 species